AUUGAACGCUGGCGGCAGGCCUAACACAUGCAAGUCGAGCGGUAGAGAGAAGCUUGCUUCUCUUGAGAGCGGCGGACGGGUGAGUAAUGCCUAGGAAUCUGCCUAGUGGUGGGGGAUAACGUUCGGAAACGGACGCUAAUACCGCAUACGUCCUACGGGAGAAAGCGGGGGACCUUCGGGCCUCGCGCCAUUAGAUGAGCCUAGGUCGGAUUAGCUAGUUGGUGAGGUAAUGGCUCACCAAGGCUACGAUCCGUAACUGGUCUGAGAGGAUGAUCAGUCACACUGGAACUGAGACACGGUCCAGACUCCUACGGGAGGCAGCAGUGGGGAAUAUUGGACAAUGGGCGAAAGCCUGAUCCAGCCAUGCCGCGUGUGUGAAGAAGGUCUUCGGAUUGUAAAGCACUUUAAGUUGGGAGGAAGGGUAGUAACUUAAUACGUUGCUACUUUGACGUACCGA
rnacentral:rRNA from 1 species